rnacentral:lncRNA from 1 species
GGUCAAGAGGUGCAAGGCCAGCAGGGAAGGUGGAGCGUCCUCUGCAUGUGACCUUUCCUAGGGUGGGCACCGAGUGGAACAGACCAAGAAGACAGUUCUCACAGGAGGUGCACGCUUCCCACUGAGGGAGGAGGAACACUGGCCAGGGCCGGAGGACAAGGUAGCCACCACCUCCAGGGAGAGCAGCCCCAAGGCCCUGUGUUGGGGAUGGGGGUGCAGGUGGAAGGAGAGGUUGAAGGAGUGGCUGACAAUGCAGAGUUUGACUGAAGACCAGGGCAUCGCUCCAGAAGGCUGGGGGAACCAGCAAUCAACCAAAGUCAAUUCCUACGUCAUAUUUUAACCCAGAACCCAGAAAAUAGGCCAUAAUUCAUUUUUCAGGCUUCUCUGAUUUUCCUUUUUCUUUUUUUACUUCUUAUGUUGUCUGAUGAGAAAAUUAGCCAAAUGAGCAGUGUAAUUAGCCCUGCAUGUUCACCUCUGUCAGGUACACUGUGAGGACUGCCAGACAGGGCUCUACCUGGGGUUCCCGGCAGCCCGCGUCUCAGAUAAGCACAAUGGCAAAGGGCCUACGUGAGAAGAAGGAACAAAUGACCAGGGCCUCUGCUCAACCCUGCUCCAUGCCUGAAUCACAGGAAGAGACUGCCAGACAAACGAGGCAGAAGAGAGCUUCAGCCUUUACCCCUCCGACCGUGAUCACACACAGACAGCUGUACUAGGCAGAGCUGGCUGCACCAGCGCCAUUGUUUGGACCAUUUGUACUUUUCCUUUUGAGAAUCAUUUAUUAUAUCCCCCGCCAGUUUUUCUUGUUGCACUAUGUGUCCUUUGUGAUCUGUAGGAGCUCUUUUGUAUGCCACGAUUUUCCAUUGUUGGCUCUUUACACGCUGCAAAGGGUUGUAUGCAGUUUCCUUCUGGGAGGUUGCUUGUAUUCUGAGUGUUUUGUGAUAUAUAGAGCUUUCCACUUUCACAAAGUCAAAUCUAUCAGUGUGACAGAGUGAGGGGCAGGCAGGGGCCCCAGGUGCUCCCAGCACUCCAUCUCUAGAUCCAGCUGCUGCUUAUGAGGGUGUGUGCACUUUGAGUGUGCCCACUUUUCUAUUUCUGUAUUACAAUAAAAAUGUAUCUUAAAUCUGUCCAUUUCUUCUUUUCUGGCUUCUGAGUUUUAUGCUUUGCUUAAAGUGUUUCCAUAUUAUGAACCUGUGAAAGCAUCUCCUAUUUUUUUUCUAAUACUUUGAAAGUUG